UACGGGGGGGGGCAAGCGUUGUUCGGAAUUACUGGGCGUAAAGGGCUCGUAGGUGGCCAACUAAGUCGGACGUGAAAUCCCUCGGCUUAACCGGGGAACUGCGUCUGAUACUGGAUGGCUUGAGUUCGGGAGAGGGAUGCGGAAUUCCAGGUGUAGCGGUGAAAUGCGCAGAUAUCAGGAAGAACACCUAUGGCGAAGGCAGCUCUCUGGGACGGUACUGACGGCUGAGACGCGAAAGCGUGGGGAGCGAAC
rnacentral:rRNA from 1 species